GAGUCCGCAGGCGAUGGAUCUCCGCCGAGACGACCGACCUAUGGGCCGUCUGAACCGCCCCGGUCCGGGGCUGAUGGUUCCUUCCCCACG
rnacentral:ncRNA from 17 species